rnacentral:rRNA from 1 species
AUUGAACGCUGGCGGCAGGCCUAACACAUGCAAGUCGAGCGGAUGAAGGGAGCUUGCUCCUGGAUUCAGCGGCGGACGGGUGAGUAAUGCCUAGGAAUCUGCCUGGUAGUGGGGGAUAACGUCCGGAAACGGGCGCUAAUACCGCAUACGUCCUGAGGGAGAAAGUGGGGGAUCUUCGGACCUCACGCUAUCAGAUGAGCCUAGGUCGGAUUAGCUAGUUGGUGGGGUAAAGGCCUACCAAGGCGACGACCCGUAACUGGUCUGAGAGGAUGAUCGGUCACACUGGAACUGAGACACGGUCCAGACUCCUACGGGAGGCAGCAGUGGGGAAUAUUGGACAAUGGGCGAAAGCCUGAUCCAGCCAUGCCGCGUGUGUGAAGAAGGUCUUCGGAUUGUAAAGCACUUUAAGUUGGGAGGAAGGGCAGUAAGUUAAUACCUUGCUGUUUUGACGUUACCAACAGAAUAAGCACCGGCUAACUUCGUG